rnacentral:lncRNA from 1 species
UUCAAUGGUAGAAUACCACUAGACUUAAUAUUUUAUAGGAAGAUUUAGAUUUAGAUCUAAUCCUUAAUAUUUUAUGACUAACCUAGUGGCAUGAGCUAGCUCAAAUCAUUAAGCAACCUAAAUCAAAAUUUAAUCGACUAAGUUGGUGAAGCAAGUGUGAUCAUUGGAAAGGUUGCAGGUGCUUGCCUUAGAUACCAUUUGUUCAUGGCC